rnacentral:SRP_RNA from 1 species
GCUGGGUGUGAUGGCUCACACCUGUAAUCCUAGCACUUUGGGAGGCCGAGGUGGGUGGAUCACCUGAGGCCAGGAGCUCGAGAUCAGCCUGACCAACAUGGAGAAACCCCAUCUCUA